rnacentral:rRNA from 1 species
AGCGAACGCUGGCGGCGUGCCUAACACAUGCAAGUCGAGCGGGAAAGUUCCCUUCGGGGAGCGAGUACAGCGGCGCACGGGUGAGUAACACGUAGGUAACCUACCCUGGAGUCUGGGAUAACCUGCCGAAAGGCGGGCUAAUACCAGAUAAGACCACGAGGGCUGCGGCCCUUGGGGAAAAAGAUGGCCUCUGCUUGCAAGCUAUCACUCUGGGAUGGGCCUGCGCGCCAUAGCUAGUUGGUGAGGUAACGGCUCACCAAGGCAGAGAUGGCUAGCUGGUCUGAGAGGAUGGCCAGCCACACUGGGACUGAGACACGGCCCAGACUCCUACGGGAGGCAGCAGUGGGGAAUAUUGCGCAAUGGGCGAAAGCCUGACGCAGCGACGCCGCGUGGGUGAUGAA